UGGCGGUUUGCAUUCACUUACA
rnacentral:miRNA from 15 species